rnacentral:rRNA from 1 species
CUGCACUGAAUGAGAUUUAACACGAAGUGAGUGCGGACGGGUGAGUAACACGUGGGUAACCUGCCCAGAAGCAGGGGAUAACACCUGGAAACAGAUGCUAAUACCGUAUAACAGAGAAAACCGCCUGGUUUUCUUUUAAAAGAUGGCUCUGCUAUCACUUCUGGAUGGACCCGCGGCGCAUUAGCUAGUUGGUGAGGUAACGGCUCACCAAGGCGAUGAUGCGUAGCCGACCUGAGAGGGUAAUCGGCCACAUUGGGACUGAGACACGGCCCAGACUCCUACGGGAGGCAGCAGUAGGGAAUCUUCCACAAUGGACGCAAGUCUGAUGGAGCAACGCCGCGUGAGUGAAGAAGGGUUUCGGCUCGUAAAGCUCUGUUGUUAAAGAAGAACGUGGGUGAGAGUAACUGUUCACCCAGUGACGGUAUUUAACCAGAAAGCCACGGCUAACUACGUGCCAGCAGCCGCGGUAAUACGUAGGUGGCAAGCGUUAUCCGGAUUUAUUGGGCGUAAAGCGAGCGCAGGCGGUCUUUUAAGUCUAAUGUGAAAGCCUUCGGCUCAACCGAAGAAGUGCAUUGGAAACUGGGAGACUUGAGUGCAGAAGAGGACAGUGGAACUCCAUGUGUAGCGGUGAAAUGCGUAGAUAUAUGGAAGAACACCAGUGGCGAAGGCGGCUGUCUGGUCUGUAACUGACGCUGAGGCUCGAAAGCAUGGGUAGCGAACAGGAUUAGAUACCCUGGUAGUCCAUGCCGUAAACGAUGAUUACUAAGUGUUGGAGGGUUUCCGCCCUUCAGUGCUGCAGCUAACGCAUUAAGUAAUCCGCCUGGGGAGUACGACCGCAAGGUUGAAACUCAAAAGAAUUGACGGGGGCCCGCACAAGCGGUGGAGCAUGUGGUUUAAUUCGAAGCUACGCGAAGAACCUUACCAGGUCUUGACAUCUUCUGCCAACCUAAGAGAUUAGGCGUUCCCUUCGGGGACAGAAUGACAGGUGGUGCAUGGUGUCGUC